ACUAACCUCACGUGUUUAUUUAUUGUUUUUAAAAUAAAAAUAAAAAUAAAAAUAAAAAUGAUUUUGAAACAACCUUAUCAUUUGCAACUUAUUUUCGUAUCAAGCUAAACUCAAGGGAGGAUAGACUUCUCAUCAAACCAACUCUAACUAAUUUAUCUAAGACUAUCUUUCUAGAGCUUAACCGUGAAAUCUUAUCUCCGUAGAAUCUCUAACUACUCAAAUUGAUAACCCUAUUGUGUGCCUCCCCUAUAAAUAUAGACAUAUACCUCAUACCUCAAGCUUUUUGCAAUCCCUCAAACACUCGUGAAAAACUAGAGAAAAUAGAACGGCAAUCGCCAAGGUUGGUUCCCAUCUACUUUCGGCUUCACCGAGACACCAUCAAACAACCUCGAUCACCACUGCGAAGAUAAACCCUUUACAGCCCUCACAACCCUCUACAACUACGGCCUUUCGGUUCCCAAAACCGCCAACUAACGAAGAGUACGUAGAAGGCUGAAGGAAGGUUUACUAGUACUUGUGUGCGGUUGUGAGACUAAGCUUAAUAAGGUAUGCGUGGCACGUCAUGAGCGACCGUUUCACAACAACUAGUAGCAAGUUAUUAAUAAAGUAGAUCACCUAAAGACAAUCAGUUGGGUUUUAUUCAAUUCAGUUUGUAACGACAUUUUGGGUAGU